CGUACAGGUUUCCGUAGGUGAACCUGCGGAANGAUCAUUACCUAGAGUUUGUAGACUUCGGUCUGCUACCUCUUACCCAUGCCUUUUGAGUACCUUCGUUUCCUCGGCGGGUCCGCCCGCCGAUUGGACAACAUUCAAACCCUUUGCAGUUGCAAUCAGCGACUGAAAAAACAUAAUAGUUACAACUUUCAACAACGGAUCUCUUGGUUCUGGCAUCGAUGAAGAACGCAGCGAAAUGCGAUAAGUAGUGUGAAUUGCAGAAUUCAGUGAAUCAUCGAAUCUUUGAACGCACAUUGCGCCCCUUGGUAUUCCAUGGGGCAUGCCUGUUCGAGCGUCAUUUGUACCUUCAAGCUCUGCUCGGUGUUGGGUGUUUGUCUCGCCUCUGCGUGUAGACUCGCCUUAAAACAAAUGGCAGCCGGCGUAUUGAUUUCGGAGCGCAGUACAUCUCGCGCUUUGCACUCAUAACGACGACGUCCAAAAGUACAUUUUUACACUCUUGACCUCGGAUCAGGUAGGGAUACCCGCUGAACUUAAGCAUAUCA
rnacentral:rRNA from 1 species